UGAGGUCAGUGAUGUCUUUCAUUUGCCUACAUUGGCUGAUUAUCUAGAUUAUGAUGUAUUUACAAUUAAAUGACCUGAGACCUCU